rnacentral:rRNA from 1 species
GGUGUUCCCAGUGGCGGACGGGUGAGCAACGCGUAGGAACCUGCCCUUGGGUGGGGGACAACGGCUGGAAACGGCUGGUAAUACCCCAUAGGCUGAGGAGCAGAAGGAGGAAAUCCGCCCAAGGAGGGGCUUGCGUCUGAUUAGCCAGUUGGUGGGGUAAUGGCUCACCGAGGCGACGAUCAGUAGCUGGUCCGGGAGGAUGAUCAGCCACACUGGGACUGAGACACGGCCCAGACUCCUACGGGAGGCAGCAGUGGGGAAUUUUCCGCAAUGGGCGAAAGCCUGACGGAGCAAUGCCGCGUGGGGGAAGAAGGCCCACGGGUCGUAAACCCCUUUUCUCGGAGAAGAAGCAAUGACGGUAUCUGAGGAAUAAGCAUCGGCUAACUCUGUGCCAGCAGCCGCGGUAAUACAGAGGAUGCAAGCGUUAUCCGGAAUGAUCGGGCGUAAAGCGUCUGUAGGUGGCUCCUUAAGUCCGCCGUCAAAUCCCAGGGCUCAACCCUGGACGGGCGGUGGAAACUACCGAGCUGGAGUACGGUAGGGGCAGGGGGAAUUUCCGGUGGAGCGGUGAAAUGCGUAGAGAUCGGAAGGAACACCAAUGGCGAAGGCACUCUGCCGGGCCGACACUGACACUGAGAGACGAAAGCUAGGGGAGCGAAUGGGAUUAGAUACCCCAGUAGUCCCAGCCGUAAACGAUGGAGACUAAGCGCUGCGCGUAUCGACCCGCGCAGUGCUGCAGCUAACGCGUUAAGUAUCCCGCCUGGGGAGUACGUUCGCAAGAAUGAAACUCAAAGGAAUUGACGGGGGCCCGCACAAGCGGUGGAGCAUGUGGUUUAAUUCGAUGCAACGCGAAGAACCUUACCAGGGCUUGACAUGCCGUGAAUCUUCUUGAGAGAGAGGAGUGCCCUCGGGAACGCGG